rnacentral:rRNA from 1 species
UGGGGAAUCAUGGUCAAUGGGCGAAAGCCUGAACCUGCGACGCCGCGUGAGUGAUGAAGGUCGUAAGAUCGUAAAACUCUUUUCAGGGAUCUUAAAGCACAACCGUCAACAACGGCUGUGUGUGACUCUCCCUGGAAGAAGCCCCAGCCAACUACGUGCCAGCAGCUGCGGUAAUACGGAGGGGGAGAGCGUUAUUCGGAAUUACUGGGUGUAAAGGGUAUGUAGGCGGCCCUUCAAGGCGCGUGUCAAAGU